rnacentral:rRNA from 1 species
UGGGGAAUAUUGGACAAUGGGCGCAAGCCUGAUCCAGCAAUGCCGCGUGGAUGAAGAAGGUCUUCGGAUUGUAAAGUCCUUUCGGCGGGGACGAUGAUGACGGUACCCGCAGAAGAAGCCCCGGCUAACUUCGUGCCAGCAGCCGCGGUAAUACGAAGGGGGCUAGCGUUACUCGGAAUGACUGGGCGUAAAGGGCGCGUAGGCGGUUUGGACAGUUAGGCGUGAAAUUCCUGGGCUCAACCUGGGGGCUGCGCUUAAUACAUCCAGACUUGAGUGUGGAAGAGGGUCGUGGAAUUCCCAGUGUAGAGGUGAAAUUCGUAGAUAUUGGGAAGAACACCGGUGGCGAAGGCGGCGACCUGGUCCAUUACUGACGCUGAGGCGCGAAAGCGUGGGGAGCAAAC